AACGAACGCUGGCGGCAUGCCUAACACAUGCAAGUCGAACGAUACCUUCGGGUCUAGUGGCGCACGGGUGCGUAACGCGUGGGAACCUGCCCUUAGGUUCGGAAUACCUCCCCGAUAGGGUUGCUAAUACCGUAUAAUUUCUUCGGACCAAAGAUUUAUCGCCUUUGGAUGGGCCCGCGUUGGAUUAGCUAGUUGGUAGGGUAAAAGCCUACCAAGGCGACGAUCCAUAGCUGGUCUGAGAGGAUGAUCAGCCACACUGGGACUGAGACACGGCCCAGACGCCUACGGGAGGCAGCAGUGGGGAAUAUUGGACAAUGGGCGAAAGACUGAUCCAGCAAUGCCGCGUGAGUGAUGAAGGCCUUAGGGUUGUAAAGCUCUUUUACCCGGGAUGAUAAUGACAGUACCGGGAGAAUAAGCUCCGGCUAACUACGUG
rnacentral:rRNA from 1 species